GGAAUUUGAAGUUGUGUAGAAAUUACUUAAUUAAAGGAUUUGGAGAAGGUUGGUUGAUGUAUGCAGUGUUACGCUGCAUUGCAAAGAGACUGUUUCCGUGACUUGAAUUUGUGACCUCCCAGCUAUAAAUGGAGUAAAUUUACCAUUACAGCAAAAUCGCCCUCUCUUAAAAAUGAUUGCCGACUUAGAUUUAAUUUGAUUAUUACAAAUAAAUUUACCUUAAAAUCAAUUGCCAAUAUUCUUGCUUCUUACUAAAAUAAUUGUGACAC
rnacentral:misc_RNA from 1 species